GUUUAUCAAAUCAAUCAAAAAAGGCUAAAAAUUAACAACAUUUUCUACCGUUGUGAAAAUUAAGUACCAAAAUAAUGAAACUUUUACUCUUUCUUGUUAUUUUUAUCGAAACCUUUGAGUCAAUUGUGGCUUCAAACCAAACAUGCAAAUCUCAAGCCCAUCUUCUAGACGAAAUCAAAUCAAAUUCCACAAUUAAUUUGUUCCCUGUGCAAAAUCCCAAUAUUGCACUUCGAGCAAUUGCAAUUUUCGACUUUCUGCACCUUCUGCAUGUUGAUAUUAUGCAACAGCAAAUCACGAUUAGAGGGUGGGUGGCACUUGAGUGGAAAAAUGAAUUUGUUCACUGGGAAGCUCAAGAUUACUGCGGGGUGACUCAUAUUCUGUCGAGUGGCGAUAAAAAUCAGCUGUGGUUUCCAGACGUGAUAGUACCCCAACUGGCAUCGAAUGAGGAUAUUCUGAAAGCGGGCUCUGCCCAGAUGCGAGUGGACGAGAGAGGAGGUUCGAUGAUAUGCAGAUAUGUGACAGUUCAGACCACUUGUGAGAUGAACGCGUGGAAGUUUCCAUUUGAUAAACACGAGUGUAGAAUAAGUGUAAAGGCGGACGCGGACUCCACUGACCAGCUGGUCCUGCUGGCAUCCAACAACAGUGGCAAGAGCUUCAUG